GGGAGUGAAAUAGUACCUGAAACCGUGCGUCUACAAGCAGUUGAAGCACUAUGCCCAUUAGGGAAUGUGCGACAGCGUACCUUUUGCAUCAUGGGCCUGCGAGUUACCCUAUGUCGCAAGGUUAAGCCGAGAGGUGUAGCCGGAGCGAAAGCGAGUUCGAAUAGAGCGAAUUAGUGGCAUGGGGUAGACCCGAAACUUGG
rnacentral:rRNA from 1 species